GGACGGGUGAGUAACGCGUGAGCAAUCUGCCUUAAACAAAGGGAUAGCCUCGGGAAACCGGGAUUAAUACCAUAUGAUAUCUAUUAACCGCAUGGUUUAUAGAUUAAAGAAUUUCGGUGUAAGAUGAGCUCGCGUCCCAUUAAUUAGUUGGUGAGGGUAACGGCCCACCAAGAUAGCGAUGGGUAGCCGAUCUAAGAGGAUGACCGGCCACAUUGGGACUGAGACACGGCCCAGACUCC
rnacentral:rRNA from 1 species